rnacentral:rRNA from 1 species
GAAUAUUGCGCAAUGGGCGAAAGCCUGACGCAGCAACGCCGCGUGUGUGAUGAAGGCUCUCGGGUCGUAAAGCACUGUCAGAAGGGAAGAAACAAAUGACGGUACCUUCAAAGGAAGCACCGGCUAACUCCGUGCCAGCAGCCGCGGUAAUACGGAGGGUGCAAGCGUUGUUCGGAAUCAUUGGGCGUAAAGCGCGCGCAGGCGGCUUGCCAAGUCUGAUGUGAAAUCCCGGGGCUCAACCUCGGAACUGCAUUGGAAACUGGUAGGCUUGAGUAUGUGAGGGGUUAGUGGAAUUCCUGGUGUAGGGGUGAAAUCCGUAGAGAUCAGGAGGAACACCGGUGGCGAAGGCGGCCCACCGGUCCGGUACUGACGCUGAGGUGCGAAAGCGUGGGGAGCAAACAGG